rnacentral:rRNA from 1 species
UCGGGAAUUUUGGGCAAUGGGCGAAAGCCUGACCCAGCAACGCCGCGUGAAGGAUGAAGUAUUUCGGUAUGUAAACUUCGUAAGAAUAGGAAGAAUAAAUGACGGUACUAUUUGUAAGGUCCGGCUAACUACGUGCCAGCAGCCGCGGUAAUACGUAGGGACCAAGCGUUGUUCGGAUUUACUGGGCGUAAAGGGCGCGUAGGCGGUGUGUCAAGUCAGUUGUGAAAUCUCCGAGCUUAACUCGGAACGGUCAACUGAUACUGUCACACUAGAGUACAGAAGGGGCAAUCGGAAUUCUUGGUGUAGCGGUGAAAUGCGUAGAUAUCAAGAGGAACACCUGAGGCGAAGGCGGGUUGCUGGGCUGAUACUGACGCUGAGGCGCGAAAGCCAGGGGAGCAAACGGGAUUAGAUACCCACGUAGUCCCUGAGCGGGCUGGCAAGGCGCAU